AAUUGAUUGAUGUGCCUAAUCAAUGCCUAGUCAGAUUAUACUGGAACCGUCUUAUCGUCUGAAUACCUUUUCAAAUAUCCUUUUGACAAUUCAGUUUUAGGAAAGCUUGUUCUUUCGUAAACCAGUACUUCUGCUUUUCUUUACUUUCCUUCCAUUUCUUUGUUUACCCUCCGGUUUCAAUCUGGUUCUCGUCUAUCCAUCCUUUGUUGAACUUCAGCAUACUCUGGAACCCCCAUUUCCAUGUAAGUCUCUUCCUCUCGUUUUAAAGUUUCUGUAGCUAUGAUAUGUGCAAGGGCGUUUGCAGAUCUUAAUGUGUGUUUGAAAAUGAAGCUGCUAGAUCUGCUAAGGCUCUGUUUAAUAUCGUGUAUAUAUGCUCUUAUAUGAGAUCGAUCUUGACUUUUGGUUGCGUAUUUUUUUAUUAUCGUGAGGGAGUCGCCAUCGAUUAUCAUCUUCUGCCAUUGUAGUUCUACCCCUACUUGGACCGCUUUCCUACACGCUAUUGCUUCAGUUGCAAAAGCAGAAAAUACCCCGUGAUGGAUCUCUGAGCAGGAAAAUAGGACAAGCCCUUCUUCAUUUCUGACCACAACCCCUGAGGCAGAUUUAUGAUAGCCCACAGUCCACAACAGAAGAUGCACCUCUGGUACGGGGAGAACUGCUCAAAAAUCCAGGUAAUCCACUGUAAAAAGUCUAUGUUAGGAUUCAAGAAGGCAUUCUGAAUUUUUAGUAGUGUCCAUACUUCCACCAUGACAGGACAUUCACAAAAAACAUGGUCGACUGUGUCAGCUCUUUCACCACACCGAGGGUAAUUUGUAUUACUGACAAUCUUAUGGUGCUGCAUAUUAGCCCUCGUCGGCAGAUAAUUCCAUGAGAUUCUACAUAUUGUAACCUUAAUUUUUUUUGGUAGAUUUAGGAGCGAGAGUUUUUUUGUAGAAAUUCGUAUAGCCGAUUUGUAAAGCGUAAGCUCUAGGAAUUUCCUCCAAAGUUUGUAAUAGUUUAUAGGCGCUGCGGACCGAAAACUCACCUGAAUACUUUCCUCCCCAGACCAAGAGAUCAUCGUGAGGUGUGCGUGCUAAAGGAAUACGGAGGAUUUUCCUAGCAUCAUCUGUUGAAAAGAUAUUGUUUAUGAGAUCUCUCUUCCAUAUUCUCUCA